GGGCAGCCCGAAUAUGUCCCUGGGUGUGGGUAUGGGUGUGGGGCAAUUUGGGUGGGAGCAGCGUGGAGGCUCCCAGGACCAAGUCCUGCGCCUCUUUGGCGGGGUGUGUGCAGGAGGAGCGGGGAUAAAUAGGAGGCUCCCUCCUCCCGGCGACAUUCACGGAGCCGGCCGGCCUCCCGCCCUGGGUGUUUCCCGGCCUUGUAGCCAGGGUGCCAGCCUGGGAAGUAGUUUCGUUUCCUUCUGGCUCCGGGAUUAGUUUCCAGGCACCCUCUCAGGCGCCCGAGGCCCGGGAAGGGGGCGAAGAAGGAGGGAGACUUGUCUAGGGGCUGCCCGGCCCGGCAGAGAGGGGUUGAUGGACCGGGCCGCCCGGGGCAGCGGCGCCAGCUCCCUGCCACUGCUCCUGGCCCUUGCCCUGGGUCUAGUGAUCCUUCACUGUGUGGUGGCAGAUGGGAAUUCCACCAGAAGUCCUGAAACUAAUGGCCUCCUCUGUGGAGACCCUGAGGAAAACUGUGCAGCUACCACCACACAAUCAAAGCGGAAAGGCCACUUCUCUAGGUGCCCCAAGCAAUACAAGCAUUACUGCAUCAAAGGGAGAUGCCGCUUCGUGGUGGCCGAGCAGACGCCCUCCUGUGUCUGUGAUGAAGGCUACAUUGGAGCAAGGUGUGAGAGAGUUGACUUGUUUUACCUAAGAGGAGACAGAGGACAGAUUCUGGUGAUUUGUUUGAUAGCAGUUAUGGUAGUUUUUAUUAUUUUGGUCAUCGGUGUCUGCACAUGCUGUCACCCUCUUCGGAAACGUCAUAAAAGAAAGAAGAAAGAAGAAGAAAUGGAAACUCUGGAUAAAGAUAUAACUCCUGUCAAUGAAGAUAUUGAAGAGACAAAUAUUGCUUAAACAGGUGCCUCCUACUAGCUAAACCCACCAGAAACCAGAGGGCAAUGGAGCCCUGGUGAUGGAAUCUGAAGUGGUCAGUCUCCUGGAGACAGAGCAGGGCAGAGAAAGGCUCCAAGAAGGCACAUGACGCGUAACUAGCACAACAAAGCAGGAUAGUUUUGGUUGUAAUAACAUAAAAUCCAACUCAAACUGGCUUAAAAUGAAGGCAACGUAUUGGCUCACAUGAAUGGCAGUCCAGAGAGGCUAUGAAGUUACCUCCAGGUUGAUGGCAAGCUGCAAAGUGCCUUGCUCAUUUGAAAAUGGACAGAAUGUGUCUCAGGAAAACAGCUAGUAGACAUGAAUUUUAAAUAAUGUAUUUACUUUUUAUUUGCAACUUUAGUUUGUGUUGUUUAUUAUUUUUUAAUAAGAACAUUAAUUAUAUGUAUAUUGUCUAGUAAUUGGGAAAAAGCAACUGGUUAGGUAGCAACAACAGAAGGGAAAUUUCAAUAAACUUUCACUUAAGUAUUGUCACCAGGAUUACUAGUCAAACAAAAAAGAAAAGUAGAAAGGAGGUUAGGUCUUAGGAAUUGAAUUAAUAAUAAAUCUACCAUUUAUCAAGCAUUUACCAUGUGCUAAUAAGUUUGAAAUAUAUUAUUUCCUUUAUUCCUUUCAGCAAUCCAUGAGAUAGCUAUUAUAAUCCUCAUUUCCUACAUAUGGAAACAGGGCCAAAGAAGUCAAGUCAAAUAAUCUAAUCCAGAUUUAGAGAGUUGGAGAUUGGUAGAGACAGACUAGAAAUCAAGAUUUAUCUAAAUCAAAAUCUAUGCUCUUAACCAUCAUUUUUGUUAGUCUGAAUCGGUGCAACCUAACUCAAUAAUAUAACCCAAGGUUUUAUACUGAACUGUGUUUUGGUAUGAUUGUGAGAUGUCAAGACCGUCUUCCCACAGGCACACAGAAUGAGAAAUCCUGGCCUAUAUUGCUGUUACCAUCAUGCUUUCUAUAGAAUUGACUUUUAUUAUGUUUCUUUGCUCCUUUAUAAAUUCUCAAUGAUGUGACUACAUUUUUACAUUAUUAAAGCAAAUAGGUUGGCCCCAUAACUAGGGAAAUGAAUAGAGAUGGAAAAGUAGAUGCUUGGCAUUCCUUAAGCCCUGGGUAAGUGUUUAUGCUCAAUAAAAUAUAAAUAAUAUUACUGAAAGAGGCUGUUUAUAUGGGAGUAAUGGUCAGUGACAACACUGGAGAGACCAGGUAGGGACCGGUUGUGACCAUAUCCUCAUUUAUGUUCUUGAUGACAGCAUAUAUGAUUGCUCUCAGGUAAAUUUUGAUGCAGUAAAUUCAUGACCAUAACAUCUAUUACUUGGGACCAUCUUGCCAAGUGCUCCUUUACUCCAUGAAAUAUUUAAUAAACACUGCUUUAAACCUGGAAAAGCACAAUCUGCAUUUAGUGAAUAUUUCAUAGAAUAUUUAACUUUUUACAUUGAUUAUGUGGUUCACUUACAAAAAUCGAUGGAAGAUGCCCCCCAACUUGUGCCUGUCAGCCAAGCAGCUUCUUUUUUAGAAUCUUUGCAAAUUUUACUUUGCAAUGUAGAUUCCAUAGCGAAGUGGAGAAUUCAGACAAAUGCUGAAAUCGCAUAUUACCUUCUAGCAUCCAUGGUGUUUUGAGUGAAGCUGGGGCUGUACUUACAUAUGACACAGAAAUAGCUCCCCUAUCAGUAAAAGCUAAGCCAAACAACUGAUAAUUUUCAAAAUCUAUUUUUUCUCCUGAUUUAAUGGUCAUACUUGAAACACAAUUAUAUCCAACUGAUCCAUGUUGCAUAUGCCUUAUUUUCAAAAGUCUCAUUUAAGCUCAUUCAUGCCCUUUCUCUUAUGUAGUCUUCUUCGAUACGAAAGGAGCUUGGAAUAAAUAUCCAUCAGAGCUUUUAAAAACACAAAACAAUGCUUUAGUGUUUCUUUUUUCCUGGACUGAGUUUGGCUGACCAACAAAAUCUCUCAAGCCAUUUUGUUUUGAUCCUAAAAUAUCAAUGGUGGCUCUCGAAAUUUGGUAGAUCUGAUAUCAAGAAAGAAUUUCAAAGAUUUUUAUAUCUUUUCAAAAUGUAUUUUAUAGUUGCUUUGCAUACACUAAAUAACUUUGUUUAUGUAAACUGUCAAUAUUAUCAUGUAAUAAAAUAAAUU